AAAGCUUGCUUUUUGCUGACGAGUGGCGAACGGGUGCGUAACGCGUAUGCAACCUACCUUUUUCAGAGGAAUAGCCCAGAGAAAUUUGGAUUAAUACCUCAUAAUAAUAUUUUUUCGCAUGUUAAAAUAUUUAAAGCUUCGGCGGAAAAAGAUGGGCAUGCGUAACAUUAGUUUGUUGGUGAGGUAACGGCUCACCAAGACUACGAUGUUUAGGGGUUCUGAGAGGAUGAUCCCCCACACUGGUACUGAGACACGGACCAGACUCCUACGGGAGGCAGCAGUGAGGAAUAUUGGUCAAUGGACGAAAGUCUGAACCAGCCAUGCCGCGUGAAGGAUGACUGCCCUAUGGGUUGUAAACUUCUUUUGUAUAGGAAGAAACCCCUCUACG
rnacentral:rRNA from 1 species